GGAGAAAUAAUAUGUUAUUUUAUUCAUGGAAAAAAAUAAAAAAUAUUACAAGACUUUAUUUGUCUACAUCUUGUAAUCAAAAUUCCUUAUUUGCUAAAACUCUCCAUCUUCUUAAGUCUUUAGCUACUUCCUUACAAGACUCAAAGAAUGCUCUCAUAUCUAGGAGCAGCUCUGUCUCUAGAUAUAUCUCUAGCUCCCUCUUGGCAUCGAAGAAUGUCCUCAGCCAAUCAUCAGCAAAGUCCCCAAGGCCAUCAACCAUUUUCUGCAUCUAUUUUUCCAUUGAUCUUUUUCUCCUUGGCUUUCUAGGAUUACUCUUUCCCAAUUCACUGACCAUGCCUCUUGUUUGGCUAUAAAUUCAUCAUAUGCCCUUUGGAGGUCCCAGAGCUGCCUCGAAAGAUGAUCCUCUCUGUGACUUGCAGCUGUUAUGGAUUGAAGGUGAUUUUUUUGUGUAUCCUCCAGGAUUACCUUGAGUUGUUAUUCCUUCUUCAUUGUUUCAUCAAGUGCAAAUUGAUACGCUUUUAAUCGCACCCAUGCCUCGUUCUCAUUUUGUU
rnacentral:lncRNA from 1 species